GGGGUAGUUCUGCUCUAAGGUCCAGACAUGGUGGGGUAGUUCUGUUGUAAGGUCCAGACAUGGUGGGGUAGUUCUGCUGUAAGGUCCAGACAUGGUGGGGUAGUUCUGCUCUAAGGUCCAGACAUGGUGGGGUAGUUCUGUUGUAAGGUCCAGACAUGGUGGGGUAGUUCUGCUCUAAGGUCCAGACAUGGUGGGGUAGUUCUGCUCUAAGGUCCAGACAUGGUGGGGUAGUUCUGCUCUAAGGUCCAGACAUGGUGGGGUAGUUCUGUUGUAAGGUCCAGACAUGGUGGGGUAGUUCUGCUCUAAGGUCCAGACAUGGUGGGGUAGUUCUGCUCUCAGGUCCAGACAUGGUGGGGUAGUUCUGCUCUAAGGUCCAGACAUGGUGGGGUAGUUCUGCUCUAAGGUCCAGACAUGGUGGGGUAGUUCUGCUCUAAGGUCCAGACAUAGUGGGGUAGUUCUGCUCUAAGGUCCAGACAUGGUGGGGUAGUUCUGUUGUAAGGUCCAGACAUGGUGGGGUAGUUCUGCUCUAAGGUCCAGACAUGGUGGGGUAGUUCUGUUGUAAGGUUCAGACAUGGU
rnacentral:lncRNA from 1 species